UAUGUUUUAAGAACAUAAACUUUUCAUAGCAUUAAAAAAAAAAAAGGGUUUCAAUUCUCCUCGUUGUCUCCGUCUUCGACCCUUUCUCUCUACCUCCAUCGAGCUCAAAGCUCUGUCCACCAUCUCCCACUCGUUUCACCGUGAAACCCUUCCUCUCCACCAUCUCCGACUCCAUCGUCUUCAAUCCCUUCCUCUCCACAUCCUCUCUCCACCAUCUCCGACUCGAUCCCUUUCUCUCCACAUCAUCUCUCUCCACCAUCUCCGCCUCGUUUUCUCAAUCUUCCCUUCCUGUCCACAUCCUCUCUCCACCAUCUCCGACUCCGUCGCUCACCAAACCUUCCUCUCCACAACCUCUCUCCACCAUCUCCGCCUCGAUCUCUCAUCGCUCACCAACCCUCCCUCUCCACAACAUCUCUUCACCAUCUCCGACUUGAUUUCUCAUCCUAAUUUAAGAGUGAGGUUCAAUCGAUUGAUUCAAGUUCGUGUCUUCACAAGCUUGCAUCUUCUAUAUUCUCUCGAGGUUAGACACAUCGAUCACUUAUUCUCAUUUUCUAAUUGUUUUGUAAACUUUUGUGGACAUUGAUCUUGUUGUUUGCGGUUUACACGUUGAAGCAAAAUUUAUAUUCUUGUUGUUGCUUGAACCAUGUACACUUGUUUGAACUGUGGCAAGGGUCUUAAUAUUAAUGUUGGACAAGUCGUGGAUGCAUUUAAGUAGAGUUGAUCUUGCAUACGAGAAAGCUGCCCGAGGUUUUGUCAAUGGUGUUACUGAUAAAUUAGGAGUUAAUGGGAAGAUUGUAUGUCGUAAUCUGUAUCGCCAUUCAAGUGAGGAGGUUGUCUCUCAUUUGGUUAUACAUGGAAUGGAUGAUGCUUACAAGGUACGGUCGGAUUGGUUUCACCGUAUGCUCUCGCCUCACAUUCUAGGUGAGGAGCACUACAACACUGCUCGUGGUGUGCAGAAAGUUCUGCAGAACUACAACAAGAACGUUAUCUUGUUCAUUGAUUCACUGUCUUGUGUCUUAAGAAGGCCUGUGUCUUCUUGUUAACAGAGGAGAUGGCGAGGAUGAAACAGGCUCAAUGGCUUGGGUUAAAGAUGAAGUCGCUAGACUUGAGAAUUGUUUUGGUUUAUGUGUAUUUGGAUGAUAUAUGAAAUAAUGUAUAUUUUAUAAAUUUAAUGAAUAUAAAAUUUUAUUUAUAGAUCCA